AAGUCAUAACAAGGUUUCCGUAGGUGAACCUGCGGAAGGAUCAUUAAUAAUGCCCUUUGACUUCGGUCUAUCGGGUUCAAUGUGUGCCUUCUCUUCGGAGUUGGCCAUCCACACACACCGUGAACUGUGGCUUCGGCCAUCACAAACUAUUAGUAAUGAAUGUAAUAUCAUAACAAAAUAAAACUUUUAACAACGGAUCUCUUGGCUCUC
rnacentral:misc_RNA from 1 species